GGGGCUGCACUGGUUUCGACAUGGGUUCGGACGCGUGGCAGGGCAUGUCGAGGUUCUGAUCCUCGUAAAACAGCAGAAAAA
rnacentral:tmRNA from 1 species